rnacentral:rRNA from 1 species
UACGAAGGGGGCUAGCGUUGCUCGGAAUCACUGGGCGUAAAGCGCGCGUAGGCGGCUGUCUAAGUCGGGUGUGAAAGCCCCGGGCUCAACCUGGGAACUGCAUUCGAUACUGGACGGCUAGAGUAUGAGAGAGGGAGGUAGAAUUCCACGUGUAGCGGUGAAAUGCGUAGAUAUGUGGAGGAAUACCGGUGGCGAAGGCGGCCUCCUGGUUCAAUACUGACGCUGAGGUGCGAAAGCGUGGGGAGCAAACAGG